rnacentral:rRNA from 1 species
UACGGAGGGAGCUAGCGUUGUUCGGAAUUACUGGGCGUAAAGCGCACGUAGGCGGCGAUUUAAGUCAGGGGUGAAAGCCCGGUGCUUAACGCCGGAGGGUCGGUGGAUACUGCCAGUCUUGAAGGUGCUAGGGGAAGAUGGAAUUACCAGUGUAGCGGUGAAAUGCGUAGAUAUUGGUAGGAACACCAGUGGCGAAGGCGGUCUUCUGGAGCACUCUUGACGCUGAGGCGCGAAAGCUGGGGGAGCGAACGGG